rnacentral:rRNA from 1 species
GUGUGUCCAAGCAACAAGUCUGAGAACGAGUGAAAUGCUUUUUCUCUCAAGGACAAGUUGUGAUGGGGAGCGAAAUUUAGUAGCGAAGUUCCUGAUGUCACACUGCCAAGAAAAGCUUCUAGUGAGAAAGUAACUGCCCGUACCGCAAACCGACACAGGUAGUUGAGGAGAGAAUCCUAAGGUGUGCGAGAGAACUCUCGUUAAGGAACUCGGCAAAAUGACCCCGUAACUUCGGGAGAAGGGGUGCUGACCGCAAGGUCAGCCGCAGUGAAUAGGCCCAAGCGACUGUUUAUCAAAAACACAGGUCUCUGCAAAAUCGAAAGAUGACGUAUAGGGGCUGACGCCUGCCCGGUGCUGGAAGGUUAAGAGGAGAGGUUAGCGCAAGCGAAGCUUUGAAUUGAAGCCCCAGUAAACGGCGGCCGUAACGAUAACGGUCCUAAGGUAGCGAAAUUCCUUGUCGGGUAAGUUCCGACCCGCACGAAAGGCGUAACGAUUUGGGCACUGUCUCAACGAGAGACUCGGUGAAAUUAUAGUACCAGUGAAGAUGCUGGUUACCCGCGACAGGACGGAAAGACCCCAUGGAGCUUUACUGCAGUUUGAUAUUGCGUGUUUGUAUCACAUGUACAGGAUAGGUAGGAGCCAAUGAUACCGGGACGCCAGUCUCGGAGGAGGCAACGGUGGGAUACUACCCUUGUGAUAUGACCACUCUAACCCGCUGCUCUUAGCGAGCAGGGAGACAGUGUCAGACGGGCAGUUUGACUGGGGCGGUCGCCUCCAAAAAUGUAACGGAGGCGCCCAAAGGUUCCCUCAGAAUGGUUGGAAAUCAUUCGUAGAGUGUAAAGGCAGAAGGGAGCUUGACUGCGAGACCUACAAGUCGAGCAGGGACGAAAGUCGGGCUUAGUGAUCCGGUGGUUCCGCAUGGAAGGGCCAUCGCUCAACGGAUAAAAGCUACCCUGGGGAUAACAGGCUUAUCUCCCCCAAGAGUUCACAUCGACGGGGAGGUUUGGCACCUCGAUGUCGGCUCAUCGCAUCCUGGGGCUUUAGUCGGUCCCAAGGGUUGGGCUGUUCGCCCAUUAAAGCGGUACGCGAGCUGGGUUCAGAACGUCGUGAGACAGUUCGGUCCCUAUCCGUCGCGGGCGUUGGAAAUUUGAGAGGAGCUGUCCUUAGUACGAGAGGACCGGGAUGGACACACCGCUGGUGUACCAGUUGUUCUGCCAAGAGCAUCGCUGGGUAGCUAUGUGUGGACGGGAUAAACGCUGAAAGCAUCUAAGCGUGAAGCCCCCCUCAAGAUGAGAUUUCCCAUCACUUUAAGUGAGUAAGACCCCUGAGAGAUGAUCAGGUAGAUAGGUUGGGAGUGGAAGUACAGCGAUGUAUGGAGCGGACCAAUACUAAUCGGUCGAGGACUUAAGC